GACGAACGCUGGCGGCGUGCUUAACACAUGCAAGUCGAGCGGUAAGGCCCUUUCGGGGGUACGACGAGCGGCGAACGGGUGAGUAACACGUGGGUGACCUGCCCUCAGCUCUGGGAUAAGCCUGGGAAACUAGGGUCUAAUACUGGAUAUGACUCCACGGUGCAUGUCGUGGGGUGGAAAGCCUUGUGCGGCUGAGGAUGGGCCCGCGGCCUAUCAGCUUGUUGGUGGGGUGAUGGCCUACCAAGGCGACGACGGGUAGCCGGCCUGAGAGGGCGACCGGCCACACUGGGACCGAGACACGGCCCAGACUCCUACGGGAGGCAGCAGUGGGGAAUCUUGCGCAAUGGGCGAAAGCCUGACGCAGCGACGCCGCGUGAGGGAUGACGGCCU
rnacentral:rRNA from 1 species